rnacentral:rRNA from 1 species
UAGCUAGUUGGUGAGGUAAAGGCUUACCAAGGCGACGAUCUGUAGCGGGUCUGAGAGGAUGAUCCGCCACACUGGAACUGAGACACGGUCCAGACUCCUACGGGAGGCAGCAGUGGGGAAUUUUGGACAAUGGGGUCAACCCUGAUCCAGCCAUGCCGCGUGAGUGAAGAAGGCCUUCGGGUUGUAAAGCUCUUUCGGCCGGGAAGAAAUCGCAUGGGCCAAUACCCUGUGUGGAUGACGGUACCGGAAUAAGAAGCACCGGCUAACUACGUGCCAGCAGCCGCGGUAAUACGUAGGGUGCGAGCGUUAAUCGGAAUUACUGCGUAAAGCGUGCGCAGGCGGUUUUGUAAGACAGGCGUGAAAUCCCCGGGCUUAACCUGGGAACUGCGUUUGUGACUGCAAGGCUAGAGUACGGCAGAGGGGGGUGGAAUUCCACGUGUAGCAGUGAAAUGCGUAGAGAUGUGGAGGAACACCAAUGGCGAAGGCAGCCCCCUGGGUCGAUACUGACGCUCAUGCACGAAAGCGUGGGUAGCAAACAGGAUUAGAUACCCUGGUAGUCCACGCCCUAAACUAUGUCAACUAGGUGUUGGGUGGGUAAAACCAUUUAGUACCGUAGCUAACGCGUGAAGUUGACCGCCUGGGGAGUACGGCCGCAAGGUUAAAACUCAAAGGAAUUGACGGGGACCCGCACAAGCGGUGGAUGAUGUGGAUUAAUUCGAUGCAACGCGAAAAACCUUACCUACCCUUGACAUGCCAGGAACUUGCCAGAGAUGGCUUGGUGCCCGAAAGGGAGCCUGGACACAGGUGCUGCAUGGCUGUCGCCAGCUCGUGUCGUGAGAUGUUGGGUUAAGUCCCGCAACGAGCGCAACCCUUGUCGUUAAUUGCCAUCAUUUGGUUGGGCACUUUAACGAGACUGCCGGUGACAAACCGGAGGAAGGUGGGGAUGACGUCAAGUCCUCAUGGCCCUUAUGGGUAGGGCUUCACACGUCAUACAAUGGUCGGUACAAAGGGUUGCCAAGCCGCGAGGCGGAGCCAAUCCCAGAAAGCCGAUCGUAGUCCGGAUUGCAGGCUGCAACUCGCCUGCAUGAAGUCGGAAUCGCUAGUAAUCGUGGAUCAGCAUGUCACGGUGAAUACGUUCCCGGGUCUUGUACACACCGCCCGUCACACCAUGGGAGCGGGUUCCGCCAGAAGUGGGUAGCCUAACCGCAAGGAGGGCGCUUACCACGGCGGGGUUCGUGACUGGGGUGAAGUCGAAACAAGGUAGCCGUAGGGGAACCUGCGGCUG